GCUCCCCCUCUCUAAUCCUUGCUGUCUGGGUGCUAGUGCUGUCUCAAUGCAAUGCACCUGGGCAAGGGUUCAGAGAGGGUGGGC
rfam:Ailuropoda melanoleuca scaffold867_14, whole genome shotgun sequence.